rnacentral:lncRNA from 1 species
GCCCGUAUUCUUGAAUCCAAUCGUUUGAUCGAAACAUACUAUAAGGACUAGCCAAAAAACCUCAGGAUUGUCCUGAUUUUUAAAAAACUAGAUCAUGUACUCGACCAAAAAUCUAUAGUAUUACCAAAUCAUCUUACUGUCGAGCAAAGAACUGCUUAUGAAAAAUAGAUGGAUGAAGAUAGUUAGGUCAAGUGCUAUGUAGUGACAUCCAUGUCAAAUAAGUUACAGAGCUAGCAUGAGCAUAUGCCUACUGUCAGGGCUAUGAUCACUCACCUACAAGAGUUGUAUGGUGAGCAAAGCCGUACAGCAUGCUUCGAAGUGUCCA